AUACGUAGGGAGCGAGCGUUGUCCGGAAUUACUGGGUGUAAAGGGUGCGUAGGCGGGGAUGCAAGUCAGAUGUGAAAUGUAUGGGCUCAACCCAUGAACUGCAUUUGAAACUGCAACUCUUGAGUGAGGUAGAGGUAAGCGGAAUUCCUAGUGUAGCGGUGAAAUGCGUAGAUAUUAGGAGGAACAUCGGUGGCGAAGGCGGCUUACUGGGCCUUUACUGACGCUGAGGCACGAAAGCGUGGGGAGCAAACAGGAUUAGAUACCCUGGUAGUCCACGCUGUAAACGAUGAUGACUAGGUGUGGGGGGACUGAACCCUUCCGUGCCGCAGUUAACACAAUAAGUCAUCCACCUGGGGAGUACGGCCGCAAGGUUGAAACUCAAAUGAAUUGACGGGG
rnacentral:rRNA from 1 species